UCAUUUUCUGAAAGGGAGGGGAAAUCGUUGCGGGUACAGUUGAGACAUACUAUGGACAUACCCCACCACAGCGAGAUAGAAAAUGAAGGAACCGAAUUAAUACAGCUCAGGUCGUCGGAACACUUGCAGAUCUGUGCAGUGUGACUGCAUUUUAAGACUAGCCAUUAAGUGAAGAAAUCAGCAACUAUUCUUCUCACCAACAGCGAGCAGCCUCCACUUAAAUUUUGCUUAUUAAGUGAGGUCUUUCGGCAGGAGGAUGUCUCUGGUGGGUGGGGGUGGGUGAGUCCAACAGCCGGACUCCCAAGUUGAGAGUUGCAGAUCGUGGCCGGGCAGUACAAAGCGUUUUCUAUCUUGACUUAUGAGGAGACAAUGGCCGGGCGUACAAAGGCGCCACCUGUGACUUAACUCGGUUGACAUCUCUGUUAAGGAGGGCAGAGAGGGGUCGCACGUGCACGCCAUCCUGACCCACCUUUCGGGCUGCAGCGAGGUGGCCGGGCUCCGGCUGGAGCUUUGGCCCUCAGUUGCAAAUUGGGGAGCUGGGGAGGGAAAGGAAACCCGGGUGCUGGGCGCCCGCGAAGCCGAGCCCUGGACCGCCGGCUCGCCGGCCCAUUUCACAGACGCGUAAAAGCGCAGCGCGGACUUGGGCCACUAGCCGCGGGGCAUCCAGCGACCGUCCUGGCACUCCUAGGUGGGCACAGUGGAAGAGUGCUGAUAUCAGGGACCAAACCCGAGGCAUUAAGGGGUGAGGGAAAUCUUGAGGGACAGACUGAGGAGGGCAGAAGGCAGAGACCUGGACCUGGUGGUGUCAAAGUGAGAGUUGGUGGGCAGACCUGCUGGCAGAAUCCAGUCUAGGCUCUGUUUCAAACACAUUUUAAAAAGAUCUCAGAGCCAGACUGCGAACCCUUCCAGAUUUCUGUUGAAUCUGAGGCUGUGAAAAAUCAAGGACAAAUAUUUAUCUAAAGAUGUCACAACUUUGAAUUUCAAUGAUAACUUCUCUGCUAAUUUCUGGUCGGAAUCUGGAGCAGCUGUGGCUAUUGUGUAUUUUGAAUUCCCAGAAGAGGAAUUUGGGAAUCCACAUUUUCCCUCCACCAGCCCUCAGUCUGCUUUCUUUUGGGUUUGUUGGUGCCUUUUGCAAGUGCAAACAAAUAAAUCUGAGACCCUCAGCUUAUUGUGAAAGUUA
rnacentral:lncRNA from 1 species